UCGUCUAAGGUUACUACAGUG
rnacentral:siRNA from 1 species